ACUAUUCACUAUCGUAAUUUUAUUAAGAGCUUGUUGUAUAAAAUUCAAUAAGAAAUAUUACAAUGUUACUAUCGUAAAUAGUAAAAGAAUAAAAAAUGAGAUUUAAUUAUAAUAUUUAUUCUUUUAUUCUUCCUCUUAAUUUACCGUGCUGCCUCUAUGUUUUUACAAUACAAGUCACAAAAAUUACGAUAGUUGAAUUGUAAAUUUUUUGACAUGGUAUAGUAUAUGCCAUCUGAAGCGUUUCCGUAUGAAAGACAAAUGUCACAAUACCAUGAUGUGAUGCUUGUUUCAUCUUUAUCCACAGUGUAGUGCAGAAAUAGAGGUUAUUUUUCAUGACGUUUUUCGGACAAUUGUAAAUAAGAAAUUUAAAAAAAAAACUGUGCUUUCUUCAUUACAAACCUACAUAGAUUCUGGAAUAUAAUAAUUUGGUGGUGAUAUUCUUCAUUUGUCGACAAUAACCUCAAAUUAUGGAUAUUUAAAGUUUCUUUAUGGAUACUGAAGUUAGCAGACGCCUAAUAAUUUUUGGAUUUUUUUAAAAAUGAUAAAUUAUAGAAAAAAAGUAUUCGAAAAAAUUGCACCUAUGGUUUUUUUUAAUUUUCUACAUGUGCGUAUUUUGAAUACAAAGAAAUGAGUUAUUUAUUCAAAAGAAAAAAAUUAUAAUACUUUUGG